rnacentral:misc_RNA from 1 species
AAGUCGUAACAAGGUUUCCGUAGGUGAACCUGCGGAAGGAUCAUUAAUGAAUGUUAGGACGCUCUUUUUUAGAGGUCCGACCCAUUUAUUUCCACACACCGUGCACAAACUACUUUUUACACCAUUUUUAUACUCUAUGUAUUGAAUGUACAAAAGUCUCUUGAUUGAGCAUACAAUUUAUAUUAAAA